AAGUCUGACGGAGCACGCCGCGUGAGUGAUGAAGGUUUUCGGAUCGUAAAGCUCUGUUGUUAGGGAAGAACAAGUACCGUUCGAAUAGGGCGGUACCUUGACGGUACCUAACCAGAAAGCCACGGCUAACUACGUGCCAGCAGCCGCGGUAAUACGUAGGUGGCAAGCGUUGUCCGGAAUUAUUGGGCGUAAAGGGCUCGCAGGCGGUUUCUUAAGUCUGAUGUGAAAGCCCCCGGCUCAACCGGGGAGGGUCAUUGGAAACUGGGGAACUUGAGUGCAGAAGAGGAGAGUGGAAUUCCACGUGUAGCGGUGAAAUGCGUAGAGAUGUGGAGGAACACCAGUGGCGAAGGCGACUCUCUGGUCUGUAACUGACGCUNAGGAGCGAAAGCGUGGGGAGCGAACAGGAUU
rnacentral:rRNA from 1 species